rnacentral:lncRNA from 1 species
UGAAGGAACGAGCUGAAAGAAACAACAAAUCUUUUCAUCACUUAGAACAAAGAAAUGCAGCUUUAAUAGUUUGUAUCAGUUAUUGAUUGAUGAUCAGUUCUCAGCUGAUUCAACAAAUCUUCACUUCCUGUUGAAGAAGUUGAUCAAAGAAAAUGUUAAAUUUGACCUCCAGAAAUGUGAAAGUGACAAAGAGAAGCAACAAACAGCAGUUGAACACUGAGAUGAGACAUUACUGUGAAGACCACAGGGACAAAACAUCACAACACCAUCAGGACUCUGAUCAUGUCCAACACCUUGAAAACCUGGUUUUACUUCCUGUGUUUCUGUCCCCUGUUACCUGCUGCUCUCAUCUGGUUCUGUCCUUCAGCUUUCUCUACUACUUUGUAAUCAGUCAAUAAAGUUAUUCAAAACUGCUGCUGCUGUCUGUACAGCUGAUGUUGUGCUUUGUUUCCUCUCAGUCUGUCAGGUGGAGGUGGAGGAGGGGGAGGAGUCUGUCCAGCUGCCCUUCAGAACUACACCUGACCUGCCUGAGGACGCUACAGUGAUGUGGGACUGCUAUAAAGGAUCAUACAGGAGAGUCCACCUGUAUAAGAACAGAUCUGACCAGCCUGGAAAACAAAACCAGGUUUACAAAGACAGAACAGAGAUGAAGAAAGACCUGCUGAAGACUGGAGACCUCAGUCUGACCCUGAAACACCUCAAAGAGACAGACACAGGAAGAUACGAGUGUGAAGUCUACAAGGAUGGAUACAGACUGAGAGUGAAAACAGUGAUGCUCAAAGUGAAAGGGAGAACUCGGAUCAAAGAUGAAACAGAGGACAUCAGGAACAGAAGCAGCUCCACUGAUCCGACUCCUCUGAUGGCUGAUCAAUCUGUUUGAUCGGUCUGUUGGUCAAUCUUUGAUUAUUGAUCUGAUGUGACUUUGGAUCAGAGACUAAAUGGAGGUGAAGGAGCUGAUGGAGGACGGAUGAAGACAGGAGGACGCUUCAUCAGCUUCUUCUUCACUCUGACUCUCACACACAGUCUACACACUCACUAUUGAUGACUAUUGAUCAGUGAUGUCAGAGUGAUGUCAGAGUGAUGUCACAUGGUGGUUUGGACUGAAACAUGCCACUUUAUAUGAAGUUUAGUGACAAACCUUUGAUGGAAAUACACACCAAAAGUUAAAUGUAAAGAUAUAUGUCUACUAAUUAUUGUUUUAUGCUUUCGAAAUAAAAAGAUGAUUUAAUCAAUGAAUAAAUGGACAUUCUUUCAUAUUUUAAUUUAUUUUGAGUCCAACGUCAUGUCUUUAAUGUGGAUCUGUGUCAUCUUCACUUCAUCAGUGUGUUUCAGCUGCAGGACCAUGUUUUCUUCACAGAAACACAUGAAGAACAGAU